GAUGAACGCUGGCGGCGUGCCUAAUACAUGCAAGUCGAGCGAACGGACGAGAAGCUUGCUUUUCUGAUGUUAGCGGCGGACGGGUGAGUAACACGUGGAUAACCUACCUAUAAGACCGGGAUAACUUCGGGAAACCGGAGCUAAUACCGGAUAAUAUUUUGAACCGCAUGGUUCAAAAGUGAAAGACGGUCUUGCUGUCACUUAUAGAUGGAUCCGCGCUGCACUAGCUAGUUGGUAAGGUAACGGCUUACCAAGGCAACGAUGCAUAGCCGACCUGAGAGGGUGAUCGGCCACACUGGAACUGAGACACGGUCCAGACUCCUACGGGAGGCAGCAGUAGGGAAUCUUCCGCAAUGGGCGAAAGCCUGACGGAGCAACGCCGCGUGAGUGAUGAAGGUCUUCGGAUCGUAAAACUCUGUUAUUAGGGAAGAACAUAUGUGUAAGUAACUGUGCACAUCUUGACGGUACCUAAUCAGAAAGCCACGGCUAACUACGUG
rnacentral:rRNA from 1 species